rnacentral:tRNA from 1 species
GGGGAAAUGGCUCAGUCAGUAAAGUGCUUGUCUUACAAGCAUGAGGAUCUGAGUUCAAUUCCCAGUACCCACA